GUGGGGAGCUGGCCUGGCCGCUGGGCCGCAUGGCAGUCAUGUGGUGAGGACAGAGCCGCAUCACCCUGAGGUGGGGCUGCACCUGGCCAGGCUCCCCCAGGGCAAGACUCUGGGGGUCUCCCCAGCGUCUGGGAGCCAGGUCCUCUCCACCUGUCUGCUGGGUGGGCUGAAAUCAUGCUGUCUCCCCCACCAGCCUGAACCAUCCUGUCCUUGUUUUCUCCCCUCCCUCUUCCCGAGGCGCACACUCUCAGAAUGGAGCAAGGACGUUUUUCUGUCUUAGAAGUAAUUUUACACAUAUGGAGGCAAGAGCUAAAGCUGCAAAACACUCAAGCCAGGGCACGCAAACAUUUCUCUGUGUGUGUGGAAAACUCUGCCGCUUCAAGAACAUGUCGAGGGUGGCUGUGUUAAAGACAAGUGAGAAGCCCGGUGUUUCUGUUACUCUGACCUUUGGAGAAGCAGAGGCUCCGAGUAUGAAAUCCAGGGUGUUGGUUUGGCUGAUUUGUGGCAUGCACGUCCUGUCUACUUCUCCUGGCGAGUGUGGAUGUAGCCGCGCAGCUCCUGGCCGU
rnacentral:lncRNA from 1 species